UGCGUAGGCGGCUUAGUAAGUCAGUGGUGAAAGGCUGUGGCUUAACCAUGGAAUUGCCAUUGAUACUGCUGAGCUUGAAUCAGGUUGAGGUUGGCGGAAUGUGACAUGUAGCGGUGAAAUGCUUAGAUAUGUCAUGGAACACCGAUUGCGAAGGCAGCUGACUGGACCUGUAUUGAUGCUGAGGCACGAAAGCGUGGGGAGCGAACAGGAUUAGAUACCCUGGUAGUCC
rnacentral:rRNA from 1 species